ACGAACGCUGGCGGCGUGCUUAACACAUGCAAGUCGAACGGGCCUUGUCCCCUUUUUUUUUGGGGGUGGGGUUAGUGGCGAACGGGUGAGUAACACGUGAGUAACCUGCCCCUCACUUCUGGAUAACCGCUUGAAAGGGUGGCUAAUACGGGGUGUUCUGGCCUUCUCGCAUGGGUGGGUUUGGAAAGAUUCGACCGGUUUUGGUUGUUUUGGUGGGGGAUGGGCUCGCGGCCUAUCAGCUUGUUGGUGGGGUGAUGGCCUGCCAAGGCUUUGACGGGUAGCCGGCCUGAGAGGGUGGGCGGUCACACUGGGACUGAGACACGGCCCAGACUCCUACGGGAGGCAGCAGUGGGGAAUAUUGCACAAUGGGCGCAAGCCUGAUGCAGCGACGCCGCGUGAGGGAUGGAGGCCUUCGGGUUGUGAACCUCUUUCGCCAGUGAAGAAGGUCCUGCUCUUUGGGGUGGGGUUGACGGUAGCUGGGUUAAUGAAGCGCCGGCUAACUACGU
rnacentral:rRNA from 1 species